rnacentral:rRNA from 1 species
UGCGGAGGGAUCAUUACUGAGUUAUCAAAACUCCAAACCCUUUGUGAACCUUACCGUCGUUGCCUCGGCGUGAGCUACGGCUACCCUGUAACUACCCUGGAGCUACCCUAGAGUUACCCUAUAGCUACCCUGCACUUACCCUGCAGCUACCCUAUAGCUACCCUGGAGCUACCCUGGAGCUACCCUGUAGUCGGCUUCAGCCCGCCGAAGGACCGUUAAACUCUUGUUUUUUACCAUUGUUUCUCUGAAUUUUAAACUAAAAUUAGUUAAAACUUUCAACAACGGAUCUCUUGGUUCUGGCAUCGAUGAAGAACGCAGCGAAAUGCGAUAAGUAAUGUGAAUUGCAGAAUUCAGUGAAUCAUCGAAUCUUUGAACGCACAUUGCGCCCAUUAGUAUUCUAGUGGGCAUGCCUAUUCGAGCGUCAUUUCGACCCCUAAGCCCCUGUUGCUUAGCGUUGGGAAUCUACGGCGUAGUUCCUCAAAGUUAGUGGCGGAGUUAGGGUACACUCUCAGCGUAGUAAUUUCUCUCGCUCGUGUGGUGGCCCUGGCUGCUAGCCGUUAAAACCCCUAUAUUUUCUAGUGGUUGACCUCGGAUUAGGUAGGAAUACCCGCUGAACUUAAGCAU